GACGAACGCUGGCGGCGUGCUUAACACAUGCAAGUCGAACGAUGACGCCCGAGCUUGCUCGGUCUGAUUAGUGGCGAACGGGUGAGUAACACGUGAGCAACCUGCCCUUCACUCUGGGAUAACCUCGGGAAAUCGGGGCUAAUACCGGAUAUGAGCUCCUGUCGCAUGGCGGGUGUUGGAAAGUUUUUCGGUGAAGGAUGGGCGCGCGGCCUAUCAGUUUGUUGGUGAGGUAGUGGCUCACCAAGGCGAUGACGGGUAGCCGGCCUGAGAGGGCGACCGGCCACACUGGGACUGAGACACGGCCCAGACUCCUACGGGAGGCAGCAGUGGGGAAUAUUGCACAAUGGGCGAAAGCCUGAUGCAGCGACGCCGCGUGAGGGAUGACGGCCUUCGGGUUGUAAACCUCUUUCAGCAGGGAAGAAGCGAAAGUGACGGUACCUGCAGAAGAAGCGCCGGCUAACUACGUG
rnacentral:rRNA from 1 species